UACGGAGGGUGCAAGCGUUGCUCGGAAUUAUUGGGCGUAAGGGCAGGUAGGUGGUCUCGUUUGUCUGGGGUGAAAGCCUUGAGCUUAACUCAAGAAGUGCCCCAGAAACGGCGAGACUAGAGUUCUGGAGAGGGUCGUGGAAUUCCCGGUGUAGCGGUGAAAUGCGUAGAGAUCGGGAGGAACACCAGCGGCGAAGGCGGCGACCUGGACAGACACUGACACUCAACUGCGAAAGCGUGGGGAGCAAACAGG
rnacentral:rRNA from 1 species